rnacentral:rRNA from 1 species
UACGGGGGGGGCAAGCGUUGUUCGGAAUUACUGGGCGUAAAGGGCUCGUAGGCGGCCAACUAAGUCAGACGUGAAAUCCCUCGGCUUAACCGGGGAACUGCGUCUGAUACUGGAUGGCUGGAGGUUGGGAGAGGGAUGCGGAAUUCCAGGUGUAGCGGUGAAAUGCGUAGAUAUCUGGAGGAACACCGGUGGCGAAGGCGGCAUCCUGGACCAAUUCUGACGCUGAGGAGCGAAAGCCAGGGGAGCAAAACGGGG